GUCUUUUUGAUUAUAAUUUAAAGUCAGAUCUGCUCAAUGAUAAAUUAAAUAGCUGCAGUAUUUUAACUGUACAAAGGUAGCAUAAUCAAUAGUUUUUUAAUUAAAAGCUGGAAUGAAUGAUUUAAUAAGGUAAAUAUUGUCUCAAUUUUAAUGAUGUUAAAAAUUUUUUUUUAGUAAAAAUACUAAAUUGAAUUUUAAAGACGAGAAGACCCUAUAGAUUUUUAUAUUUUUAAUUUAAUUAAUUUAAAUUUAAAUUAUAUUUAAAUAAAAAAAAUAUUAGGUUGGGGAAAUUAUUAAAUUGAUAAAAUUUUAAUUUUUUAAUAACAAAAAUUAUUGAUUAAUUGAUUUUAAUUAUUUGAAUUAUUAGAAUAAAUUACCUUAGGGAUAACAGCGUAAUUUUUUUGAAGAGAUCAUAUUGAUAAAAAAGUUUGCGACCUCGAUGUUGAAUUAAGAUAAAAUUUUAAAGGAAAAAUUAAAAAUUUUUGGUCUGUUCGACCAUUAAAAUCUUACGUGAUCUGAGUUCA
rnacentral:rRNA from 1 species